rnacentral:rRNA from 1 species
GAUGAACGCUGGCGGCGUGCCUAACACAUGCAAGUCGAGCGGAGUUAAGUUUUCGGAUUUAACUUAGCGGCGGAUGGGUGAGUAACACGUGGGUAACCUGCCCUGCACAGGGGGAUAACAGUUGGAAACGACUGUUAAUACCGCAUAUGCACACAGCACCGCAUGGUGCCGGGUGGAAAGAUUUAUCGGUGCAGGAUGGGCCCGCGUCGGAUUAACUUGUUGGCAGGGUAACGGCCUACCAAGGUGAUGAUCCGUAGCCGGCCUGAGAGGGCGACCGGCCACAUUGGGACUGAGACACGGCCCAAACUCC